UUUAGUACCUAUAUAAAUACAAUUAACCGAAUCAUUCAAUAUUUUGUUCCUUCCUAUGUAUAAUAUACGUAUUAACCACACAAGUAGAAUCCUUACAUAUAAAAUAUCUAUUUCAUUAUCUAUUUUAAUUACCAAAACUAAAACUACAAAAUUUCACCUACCAAGUAAAACAAAACUAAGUGCACAACAUUUCAUCUCAACUCUCAUAAUCCUCAAUUAUUAUUACAGACAAUACCCCAAGUAAUAUAUUUAUAAACUUAAUAAAAGGAAGAGGAAACAUGAUGCCGUUGGAAAUCCCUAUUGUUUCAGAGUCAGACAACCAGAGGGCGCACAGUCGAAAGUAUAACGUUCCGAACAAAAACGCAUCGGCACGCUCCAAGUGUUCCAUAGAAGCGUAAGAAAUAUUUUUCCAAAGGAUUUCGUCCGUAGAAGUUUGCGCAUUAUUUCUCGGCUUUCUGCCUUCACGAAGAAAAUAGGAGGAGAGAGAGAGAGAGAGAGAGAGAGAGAGAGAGAGA